AUGCUGAGAGCGAGGCGGCGGUGCUGCUCUAGGAGGUUGGUGAUGGGAGAAGAUCCUCCCGCUUUAGAUGGUCACCAGGACAGUCAGGGUGAGGAUAGGUGGCAGAUCAGAUCUAAACUAGCACAGAUGAGAGAAAGGAGCACAAUUCGCCACUGCAUACAAGCCUCCACCGUGAUGAGGUACAAUCCCAAACCCUUGGGGAUGCAAGGCGAAGGCAUCAUGCUCAUUGGUACCGGUUGGACCAAUGACAUGGAGGAUUCGAUGGCGGUGGUAUCUAGUUCACAAGAGAGGAAGAGCGAGGCGAUAGACAAAGGAAGGGGAAACCUUACAAGUGUUUGA
rnacentral:rRNA from 1 species